rnacentral:rRNA from 1 species
AAACAUCGCCUCCUGCAGUAUAUAGGAGGUCCAGCCUGCCCAGUGACCAAGUUAAACGGCCGCGGUACCCUAACCGUGCGAAGGUAGCGCAAUCACUUGUUCUUUAAAUGAGGACUAGUAUGAAUGGCAUCACGAGGGUUACACUGUCUCCCACCUCUAAUCAGUGAAACUGAUCUCCCCGUGAAGAAGCGGGGAUAAAACUAUAAGACGAGAAGACCCCAUGGAGCUUCAAACCCGGCAUCAACCAUUAACAUUAAUACCACAUUAAAUAAAUGGACCUGACUGCUGGUUUUAGGUUGGGGUGACCGCGGAGCAUAACAAAACCUCCAUGAUGAACGACCUCCUCUCUAAUCCGAGAGCCACCACUCAAAGAAUCAAAAAAUUGACAUUUAUUGACCCAAACUAUUUUGAUCAACGAACCAAGUUACCCUGGGGAUAACAGCGCAAUCCAUUUCAAGAGCCCCUAUCGACAAAUGGGUUUACGACCUCGAUGUUGGAUCAGGGUAUCCUAGUGGUGCAGCCGCUACUAAAGGUUCGUUUGUUCAACGAUUAAAACCCUACGUGAUCUGU